AUUGAACGCUGGCGGCAGGCCUAACACAUGCAAGUCGAGCGGAUGAAGGGAGCUUGCUCCUGGAUUCAGCGGCGGACGGGUGAGUAAUGCCUAGGAAUCUGCCUGGUAGUGGGGGAUAACGUCCGGAAACGGGCGCUAAUACCGCAUACGUCCUGAGGGAGAAAGUGGGGGAUCUUCGGACCUCACGCUAUCAGAUGAGCCUAGGUCGGAUUAGCUAGUUGGUGGGGUAAAGGCCUACUAAGGCGACGAUCCGUAACUGGUCUGAGUGGAUGAUCAGUCACACUGGAGCUGAGACACGGUCCAGACGCCUACGGGAGGCAGCAGUCGGGAAUAGUAGACAAUGGGCGAAAGCCUGAUCCAGCCAUGCCGCGUGUGUGAAGAAGGUCUUCGGAUUGUAAAGCACUUUAAGUUGGGAGGAAGGGCAGUAAGUUAAUACCUUGCUGUAUUGACGUUACCAACAGAAUAAGCACCGGCUAACUUCGUG
rnacentral:rRNA from 1 species